rnacentral:rRNA from 1 species
AUGGGUAUGUAUUCAUAUAAAAUGGUUUAUGGAAAAGCUUGUCAUUUGCCUCUUGAGUUAGAACACAAAGCAUAUUGGGAAAUUAAAGAACUCAAUUAUAAUUUCAAACUUGCUGGUGAAAAGAGGCUAUUUGAUAUUAGCUCAUUAGAUGAAUGGGGAACCCAGGCUUUGCAGUUAUUCAAAGAAAAAGUUAAAAGAUGGUAUGACAAAAGAAUCCAAAAGCGUGAGUUCAAAGUUGGAGAAUAUGUUCUUUUGUACAACUCUCGUUUCAGAUUCUUUGCAACAAAACUCCUCUCCAAAUGGGAAGGACCCGAUGUCAUCGAGGAGAUCUAUCGAUCUGGAGCUAUCAAAAUAAAUAAUGCUGAAGGUACUAACCCAAAGGUUGUCAAUGGGCAACGAAUCAAACACUAUAUCUCAGAUCCAAUCCAUCAUGGCCGCUUCAAGCUCCUCUAA